AGAUAGGCAUUAGAGAUUCUGAUUCCGGAUCAAAGAAUCCUGAUAUCAAAAAUAAUGCAUCUGAUAUUGACUUGACAAACUCUUCUAUCAAGAAAAAUGACUUCAAUUUGUACAAAUUAGGCACAGUAAACCAAGAAAUAAUUACAACUAAAGGUGCUUCUGUCACGAUGCAUUGUAGUGCAUUGACUGACGAGUUCCCUGAUAUCGAAUGGUUUAAUAAUAGCAAUAUGUUGAUAACUGAUGGUAAGUUCACUUUGGAUUCACAAAAACCAGUUAAUAAAUAAUCUAACCAUUAAAUUGUCAAUUUUAGAGAGAAUUAUGAUAAGUUAUACUAAUGUAUCGCAAUCGCAUUCAUCACAAUUAACCAUAUCAGAUGUCGCGAAAUGGGACGAAGGUGACUACAGUUGCGAAGGAACGAUGGAUGAUGGUCUUAUUAUUGGAAAUUUUUAUCACUUGCAGGUCAAUGCCCCUGCUGUGAUUUCAGUUUCGGUUAUAUUGCAGUUAUCAAUAAUACUGCCAUAUAUUUUAUGUUGUUGAUGUUGUUA